rnacentral:rRNA from 1 species
UACGUAGGUUGCAAGCGUUAUCCGGAAUUAUUGGGCGUAAAGCGUGCGCAGGCUGAUCGUUAAGUUGGAUGUUAAAUCCCUGAGCUCAACUCAGGUUUGGUGUCCAAAACUGGCAAUCUAGAGAAAGGCAGAGGUAAGUGGAAUUCUGUAUGUAGGGGUAAUAUCCGUAGAUAUACAGAGGAACACCAAAAGCGAAGGCAGCUUACUGGGCCUUUUCUGACGCUGAGGAGCGAAAGCGUGGGGAGCGAACAGG